CCUUCUUUCUCUCCACUUCAGAGUGCUGCGUCAGAAGGCUCUCUAUCUCACUGUCCCUACUGUUGGCAGCAUGGCUUCGGGGUAAAGUGCUAGGCUUUGACAAGACUGUCCUUUUCACACCUUUCCACUGAGUUUAGAAAACGGCACUGAAAAUCCAGGGCAAGAUGCUGAGGAAAGGGAAUAAGUAUGCACAUUGCUCCGCUCAGGGGCUUUGUCUUCACUCUCAACUUUUGCUGCUCCGAUGUGUCCUUGUCCUGCGCCAGAGGCUUUGCUUUGGUGCUGGCUCUGUGCUGCAUGCAAGAGCGGUUACCUUGGAGGUCCUUUCUUGAAUUGCAGUUCUGGACUCCAGGUCGACCCAGACGGGAUGAGGACUUGGACAUCUUACCCACCGGCGAACCUAUCCAGUAAAAACUACCUUGUGAUAAUUUCCACUGGGCAAGCUUGGUGUUAUCCCCUGCAGCCUUUGCAGAAGAUGCUGUUUGCCACUUGUUCAUUGAGGCAGAAGAUCAGUGAGAUGCGUGUUUGCAUGAGAGUUUUUUUUGGAUUGAAUUGGCCUCCUGUCAGAAACAAAAUUGUUAUAAUGCCAGAGCUAAACCGCAUUAACACUAGUAAUGUUAACAAGCAAACAUGACAUAAUGUUAACAAGCAAACAUGACAAAAAAAUCUUGUUCACGUAAUAAACAUUAGGUAUGGUGUUUGUAUUUGUCUAUUCUCAGUUGGAAUCAAUAUUUCAAAGACUUGAAUCUGAAAGAAUCAAUUUGUGAUGUAUUAUUGUCCUUGAUAGUAAACUAAAAGUGGCUUCUA